UCCCUUCUUUCCUUUUUUUGCGACGAUGUGCUCUUACUCUUCCUCUCUUCUUCUUGAUUCCUUCGAUCUGAGAUUCCAAAAAAAUUGGCGGUGUGGCCAGCGGUGAACAACAAACUUUGCUGUGGCCGAUGACGACUUUAACGGCAGAGGACAAUGAUUUUAUGGAGAAGGAUAGUGGUUACCACCGAAAUGAGUCCUAAUAGGAUUCAAAAACCGAUUUGGGGCUGUUGGUUAUUUUUCUAUUUUGAGUGGGUGUCGGGAAUUCUGGGUUGUUAGAAGAGAGAGUGGGGAGAUGUGGCGGAAAAUUAGUGUCUACAGUUGGAUUCUCAAGUUUGUGCCUUUUCGAGCUACCAAGAUGAAGUGCUGGUGAGUGGUAACUUGUAAAACCUAUGCUACAUUUAAUUUUUGCUUAUUUCUUUCCCCCCCCCCAAAUCUUUUCAAACAUGGUAAUUUGUAAGUGAAGCGAGAGAAACUGUUUCAACUGUUUAAAGUAUUAUAACAGGGUUGAAAAUCAAUGCAGAUUUAUUAAGAUAGUUUAAAACC